rnacentral:rRNA from 1 species
UACGAAGGGGGCUAGCGUUGCUCGGAAUCACUGGGCGUAAAGCGCACGUAGGCGGAUCUUUAAGUCAGGGGUGAAAUCCCGGAGCUCAACUCCGGAACUGCCUUUGAUACUGGGGAUCUUGAGUCCGGGAGAGGUGAGUGGAACUGCGAGUGUAGAGGUGAAAUUCGUAGAUAUUCGCAAGAACACCAGUGGCGAAGGCGGCUCACUGGCCCGGUACUGACGCUGAGGUGCGAAAGCGUGGGGAGCAAACAGG